ensembl:lncRNA
CACCGCUCCGGGUUUUGUUCGGGCUGGGAAGAUGGGCGCUCUGCAAUCGCCGGAGCAGUGACCAAAAAUGAGAACUGUGGCAGAGUCUGGCUUUAUGCUCUUCAAAUACAUCUGUUUUAUUGACAUAUAGUGAACAUCAUUCCCUAACCUUCUCAGAGCUACAUUGUACCAGGUUUCUGCAUGCUGAAGAUCCAGUAGGAAACUUCAAAGAAGAAGUAGGGACAGUGGGACCCCUAGAUGAAAACAACCAAGGUUUUUAUCAUCACUGACUGCAAACGUGUGCUGUAAUAUGAUAGUAAAAUGUUUCUUUAUUUUGUUACACUGAUAUAUUUGAAGUGUUGUCUCAGAGUGUAGAUUUGUUUCAGGUGAUGAUGAUAUUGAAUUGAAC